AUACGGAGGGGGCUAGCGUUGUUCGGAAUUACUGGGCGUAAAGCGUACGUAGGCGGACUGAUCAGUUGGGGGUGAAAUCCAGGGCUUAACCCUGGAACUGCCUUCAAUACUGUCAGUCUUGAGUUUGGAAGAGGUGAGUGGAAUUCCUAGUGUAGAGGUGAAAUUCAUAGAUAUUAGGAAGAACACCAGUGGCGAAGGCGGCUCACUGGCCCGAUACUGACGCUGAGGCGCGAAAGCGUGGGGAGCGAACAGAAUUAGAUACCCCAGUAGUCC
rnacentral:rRNA from 1 species